rnacentral:rRNA from 1 species
UGGGGAAUAUUGCACAAUGGGCGCAAGCCUGAUGCAGCCAUGCCGCGUGUGUGAAGAAGGCCUUCGGGUUGUAAAGCACUUUCAGCGGGGAGGAAGGCGUUAAGGUUAAUAACCUUGGCGAUUGACGUUACCCGCAGAAGAAGCACCGGCUAACUCCGUGCCAGCAGCCGCGGUAAUACGGAGGGUGCAAGCGUUAAUCGGAAUUACUGGGCGUAAAGCGCACGCAGGCGGUCUGUCAAGUCGGAUGUGAAAUCCCCGGGCUCAACCUGGGAACUGUAUUCGAAACUGGCAGGCUAGAGUCUUGUAGAGGGGGGUAGAAUUCCAGGUGUAGCGGUGAAAUGCGUAGAGAUCUGGAGGAAUACCGGUGGCGAAGGCGGCCCCCUGGACAAAGACUGACGCUCAGGUGCGAAAGCGUGGGGAGCAAACAGG